AGCAGUCGCCACGGUAAUACGAAGGGGGCUAGCGUUGCUCGGAAUCACUGGGCGUAAAGCGCACGUAGGCGGAUCGUUAAGUCAGAGGUGAAAGCCUGGAGCUCAACUCCAGAACUGCCUUUGAUACUGGCGAUCUCGAGUCCGGAAGAGGUAAGUGGAACUGCGAGUGUAGAGGUGAAAUUCGUAGAUAUUCGCAAGAACACCAGUGGCGAAGGCGGCUUACUGGUCCGGUACUGACGCUGAGGUGCGAAAGCGUGGGGAGCGAACGGGAUUAGAUACCCCUGUAGUCCCUGUCUCUUAUAC
rnacentral:rRNA from 1 species